UCGCCCCCCCCAGCAGCCCCAAGCACGACUUGAGGGGGACGGACGUAGAGGGGUUCCCCCAGGGCCGGGGGCCCAGACGCUGCUCUCCCCAACGGCCAGCCCAACGCCUCCUGCAAUAGUCACCUAAGCAAUGGGGAGAAUAAAUUGCCUCCUUCCUCACCCGUAAUGCAGCAGAGGUGGGGAGGCUGCACCUACGCUCCCUCCACCUCGGACCAGGCUGGUUUCGGAGGAUCUGAACAAUUUAUUUGCUCAGGUGGAUCCAAUAUCAAUGCAUCCUCCCUGCAAAAAUUUCUGGUGUUCUUUCUUGUGUCCCUGACAUACUGAGUUACUGAAACUAAACUGGAUGUCACAAAUGUCAACCAAAUACACUUUGGA